AAAGGCUUGCCUCUGUCUUCUCAUUUCAUCUCCCCUGCUCAACCGGUUCUCCAAGCAAAAAGCUUAUUCUUUUGAGCUUUUGAUCAAGGAAAAAUGGUGAGGCAUUACAAAAUGAAAGGGCACAAGAAAAGGAAGAGAGAUAAGGUGCAAUAUGAUAAAGAAGAAAAUGGAGAAGAAGAAUAUGUAGAAAAAUCUGUCCCACGAGAGGGAGGGGCAGAGGAAGAGGAAGAUGAGGAGAAUAUGAAUGAAAAGAAGAGAAGGGCUGAAGAACUAGCAAAUGAACUUCCCAGCCUUCCAAUUGUUCUUGCUGAUGACCAGAAAAACGCCAAUAAACCUGGGGUUAUUUUCAUUCUUGAAAAGGCUUCUCUGGAGGUUGCAAAAGUGGGAAAGAAUUAUCAACUUCUGAACUCAGACAAGCAUGCGAAUUUUCUGAGGAGAAAUGGACGGAAUCCAGCUGAUUACCGGCCUGACAUUGCUCAUCAGGCAAUCCUGAUGAUUUUGGACAGUACACUUAAUAAAUCUGGUAGAAUGAAAGCUUUGUAUGUGAAGACUGAGAAAGGCGUGCUCUUUGAAAUUAAACCUCAUGUUCGUAUUCCAAGGACAUUUGAUCGUUUUUCUGGCAUCAUGUUGCAGCUGUUACAAAAACUGAGUAUAACUGCUGUUGGUAAGCGUGAAAAACUUCUGCAAGCUAUCCAGAAUCCUGUAACCAAGUAUUUGCCCAUCAACUCUCGGAAAAUAGGCUUCUCACAUAGUUCGCAAAAAUUGGUUGAUAUGCAAGAUUAUGUCGCUGCUGUUGGUAAUGAGAUGAACCUUGUAUUCGUGGUUGGUGCGAUGGCUCAUGGAAAAAUUGAUGUUGAUUAUGUUGAGGAUUUUAUAUCAAGUACUUGAUGAAUAUCAUUUGUCUGCAUAGUUCGUUGACUCAUUAGCAAGCAUGCAUUAAUUUCAGUUCAGAAACCUAACCAAAAUUUCCAGUUAUGCGAUCUUUUACUGUGAGUUUCUGAUUAUCCGUUGAGCGCUGCAUUCUGCAUAUCUAGGAUCUGCAAUGCUGUGGAGCGGAGCUGGAGAGUUUUGUGACCUUCUGCAGUUGCCUUUAUUUUUAGUAGACAUAACCACAUGUAUACCGUAGGCUUUUGUUAACAGGCUAUUUAUGAACAUCACUACAAUUUGAUGAUGGUAUGGAGUUUACUCCGUGCAAGAUGAAACUCCUUUUUUCCUAAUCCUUUUUACUCGGUUUGAAUACAAAAUAUUAUGUUGGUUCA